rnacentral:rRNA from 1 species
CAAAAACAUCGCCUCUUGCCACCAUAAGAGGUCUAGCCUGCCCAGUGACCCUGUUCAACGGCCGCGGUAUCCUAACCGUGCGAAGGUAGCGUAAUCACUUGUCUUCUAAAUAAAGACUAGUAUGAAAGGCAUCACGAAGACUAAGCUGUCUCCUUUUUCCAAUCUGUGAACCUAAUCUCCCCGUGAAGAAGCGGGGAUUUUACCAUAAGACGAGAAGACCCUAUGGAGCUUAAAACACUAUAACACCUGCCUCCCCCCCUCCCACUACCCAGAUACUUUACCCCGCGGCACCCUGAUUAUAUGUUUUUGGUUGGGGUGACCGCGGAGAAUAAUACAUCCUCCACGAUGAAGGGAUUAACCCCCUAAGCAACAAGCCUACAACUUUAUGCAUUAAUAAAUUAACAUCUAUUGACCCAUUACUUUGAUUAACGAACCCAGUUACCCUAGGGAUAACAGCGCAAUCCACUUUGAGAGCUCCUAUCGACAGGUGGGCUUACGACCUCGAUGUUGGAUCGGGGUACCCCGGUGGUGCAGCCGCUACUAAAGGUUCGUUUGUUCAACGAUUAAAACCCCACGUGAUC